UACUAUGCCCAGUCUCACGCGGACACGCCUCAACUCAGAGUGGGAAAACAAAAUGGCGGUUCCGUUGAAUCGGGAAAAUCAUGUUGAACGCCGCUUUUUAACUCUUUGCUAGCAGUGAUUUCUUCUUAUCUGUUUAAGCAGGGAUUUCACCGACUCAGUGCGUCAUAUAUACCCUAUUUGUGUUGUUUCUCAUCGGCAACAGACCUCAUUUGCAGGGUUAUUUUUACGACUUCACCGAAUCGUACUGUAAUGAACGCGGAAGGGCUUGGAGAUGAUAGGAGAAUGGGAGUAUAGUCAUACCCUGGGUACCAGAGGCUCCAAGCUUCACUAGAGCAGAUAUCA